rnacentral:rRNA from 1 species
GGAAUAUUGCUCAAUGGGCGCAAGCCUGAAGCAGCGACGCCGCGUGGGCGAUGAAGGUUUUCGGAUCGUAAAGCCCUUUUCUCUGGGACGAGCAAGGACGGUACCAGAGGAAUAAGUGUCGGCUAACUACGUGCCAGCAGCCGCGGUAAAACGUAGGACGCAAGCGUUAUCCGGAAUUACUGGGCGUAAAGCGCGUGUAGGCGGGUGAUUAAGUCAUUGGUGAAAGCUCCGGGCUAAACUCGGAGAGGUCCGAUGAUACUGGUCAUCUGGAGGGGGUCAGAGGGGUGUGGAAUUCCGGGUGUAGUGGUGAAAUGCGUAGAGAUCCGGAGGAACACCAGAGGCGAAGGCGACACCCUGGGACCAACCUGACGCUGAGACGCGAAAGCAUGGGGAGCGAAC